rnacentral:rRNA from 1 species
UACGUAGGGUGCGAGCGUUGUCCGGAAUUAUUGGGCGUAAAGAGCUCGUAGGCGGUUUGUUGCGUCUAUCGUGAAAACCUGCAGCUUAACUGUGGGCUUGCGGUGGAUACGGGCAGACUUGAGUUCGGUAGGGGAGACUGGAAUUCCGUGGUGUAGCGGUGAAAUUGUAGAUAUCAGGAGGAACACCGGCGGCGAAGGCGGCUCCUGGCCCAUUACUGACGUUCAGGUACGAAAGCGUGGGUAGCAAACAGG